rnacentral:tRNA from 1 species
UAGGGUGUGGCUCAGUGGUAGAGUACUUGCCUAGCAUGUGGGAAGCCCUGGUUCCCAUCACCAGCACCCCAA